rnacentral:sRNA from 1 species
UCUGCUAAUGUGCUGCGCGUUGUAGUCGAUUAAAGCAUUUUACAUAUUGAAUAUAAAUAUAAGACCUUUAAACUAAUUGGCCUUAAAAUAUUUCAAUUUUAAUGGUGGAAAAUUCAAAUUCAUCUUGGAAAACUCAAAUUGAAUAUAUUGCGUAUUUCGCAUAUCACGUUGACUACUGGGGUCAAAUUAACAUAGAAUUGCGUUACGCGGGCACAAAGUGGACAGAAAAAAUCAGCGCGCAGAAAGCAAUAAUAGUUCAUGCACAUGGGUAUAUUUAUGUAUGUAUGUAUUGGUCUGCAUAAACUGGCUUGUUACUGUGUGUCUGCUUAAACGUUAUCUUCAAAUUGAUCGCACUCCAUCAAAAUUUGUUGUUGCUCGUCGCUCCUAACAAGAAUUUACUUGAUCUCUUUUAUGUGUGUCGUUUCUUCGUCCGUUAUUUACAUGCAUGCAUGUAUGUAUGUAUGUGCGCAUAUGUAGAUAAUGCACAAGCACGCGCUUACACACGCUUACACACAUAUGUACAUACAUAUGCUCGCCCAAAUUGGACAGUCUUCUCUCACUCUGUGUUAGUUUUAUUCCAGAAGUCAAUUUGAUGCGCUGUUUUGUUGAGAAUUAAAGUCGUUUGAAGCUAUUGCAAAAUAUAAUUGGAAUGUCUCGGUCAAAUACCGUCCAAUUGGCGAUUUGUUUACCUUCUCGGACGCAUGCCUCCAGCUGGGGAACAGCAUUGCUCGGUUCUCUUUCGUAUCGCGUGGGCUUGGACAGCGAUUGAAUACUUAACCGAUCCCAUUGCUUAUUUUUCAUAUUGCAACACAUAAAUAUGCUCGAUAAAGACAAGGCGAGCCGGGAUCAACUCCUUUGUGCUAGUCUGCCAGAGAGGUCGGUGCAAUUAUGUGGUCGGAAUUAAAAAGGGGUUUCUGCUCUAUCUCGCCCGUCUGCCGCUGCCAUUAGGAUGAGGACAUGGCUUGUGGAUAUCUUUUGCCGACAACUCUGCACCUGCUGCUGCCGUUGCCACGCCCUACAGAUUUCUGAUUGAGGGAUUCAAGGAUUCAUCGAUUUUAAGGACUUUCACAAGGCUUUUCUGCAAGAUUCAGGAAAAUCUGCAGCUUUCAAUGACAAAAUCAAAUCAAUAUUGUUGGUACCUAGUUGACCCACAUAUCCUUGGUUAUUCCAUACAAUGGAUAUAGUGAACCUAGAGGGCGAAUAUGGUCCAAAAAUAUGUAUGCUUUUUCAGCCGUCCCAUUUAAUUUCCCGCCCCUUGCUGGUUCCUAGUUGACUGAAAUAUCCUUGGUUCUACCAUACCAUCGAUAUAGUCCUUGGCAACCUACAACAAAUCCCUGCAAAAUUUGCAUUGAAAUUAACCAAAAGCAUUUAUUUUCCUUUUAGCAGCGCCUGUAAAUAACCAGCAGCUGCAGCUGCUAACUAACAGCCGAUCUUACAGCACUCAUUUUACAUUAACUGCUAUUUAACAUAACUCAUUUUACAUUUUUGCCCACACGGGUAUGCAACAAAAAUUUUUAUUCAAAAAAUUUCGUCGACCUUCUGAGCAUUUCUGUUCGCCUGGUACUUCAGCGGAAUUUCAGUACAAAUUGGGGACCCAGCCGCCGACGAGCGAGCCCCUUUCGGGUAUGCAACAGAAAAUUUUCGGACGCUGAAAAAUUUUGUCUACCUUCUAUAUAUUUCUGUUUGCCUGGUAUUUCAGCAGAAUUUCAGAAAAACCUCGGCAUCCGGCAACAGAUUUUUAACGACAGUUGAUUUUUGAAU